UGGUGGCCUAGUGGUUAGAGCUUCCGCCUCAAAUGCAGGAGGUUGUGGGUUUGAUCCUCAUGUCAAGUCAUAACAA